rnacentral:rRNA from 1 species
AUUGAACGCUGGCGGCAGGCUUAACACAUGCAAGUCGAGCGAGCGGCGGACGGGUGAGUAAUGUAUGGGAAACUGCCUGAUGGAGGGGGAUAACUACUGGAAACGGUAGCUAAUACCGCAUACCAUCAGAUGUGCCCAGAUGGGAUUAGCUAGUAGGUGGGGUAACGUCUCACCUAGGCGACGAUCCCUAGCUGGUUUGAGAGGAUGACCAGCAACACUGGAACUGAGACACGGGCCAGACGCCUACGGGAGGCAGCAGUGGGGAAUAUUGGACAAUGGGCGCAAUCCUGAUUCAGCCAUGCCGCGUGUAUGAAGAAGGCCUUCGGGUUGUAAAGUACUUUCAGCGAGGAGGCGGUAGUCGAAGAAGAAGCACCGGCUAACGCCGUGCCAGCAGCCGCGGUAAUUG